AUUGAACGCUGGCGGCAGGCUUAACACAUGCAAGUCGAACGGUAACAUAAAGAAGCUUGCUUCUUUGAUGACGAGUGGCGGACGGGUGAGUAAUGCUUGGGAAUCUAGCUUAUGGAGGGGGAUAACUACGGGAAACUGUAGCUAAUACCGCGUAGAAUCGAGAGAUGAAAGUGUGGGACCUUCGGGCCACAUGCCAUAGGAUGAGCCCAAGUGGGAUUAGGUAGUUGGUGAGGUAAAGGCUCACCAAGCCGACGAUCUCUAGCUGGUCUGAGAGGAUGACCAGCCACACUGGGACUGAGACACGGCCCAGACUCCUACGGGAGGCAGCAGUGGGGAAUAUUGCGCAAUGGGGGCAACCCUGACGCAGCCAUGCCGCGUGAAUGAAGAAGGCCUUCGGGUUGUAAAGUUCUUUCGGUAGCGAGGAAGGCAUUUAGUUUAAUAAACUAGGUGAUUGACGUUAACUACAGAAGAAGCACCGGCUAACUCCGUGCCAGCAGCCGCGGUAAUACGGAGGGUGCGAGCGUUAAUCGGAAUAACUGGGCGUAAAGGGCACGCAGGCGGUGACUUAAGUGAGGUGUGAAAGCCCCGGGCUUAACCUGGGAAUUGCAUUUCAUACUGGGUCGCUAGAGUACUUUAGGGAGGGGUAGAAUUCCACGCGUAGCGGUGAAAUGCGUAGAGAUGUGGAGGAAUACCGAAGGCGAAGGCAGCCCCUUGGGAAUGUACUGACGCUCAUGUGCGAAAGCGUGGGGAGCAAACAGG
rnacentral:rRNA from 1 species